UGAGAUAAAGCUCAGUGGUUGAGCCCGUGCUUCGCAUGCAUGAGGUCCUGGGUUCAGUCCCUAGUACCUCCA
rnacentral:tRNA from 1 species